GUACGUCUUCAGGGCGGGGUGGAAUUCCCCACCGGCGGUAGGGUUGCGCUAUCUGGCAACCAAGCCCGCGAGCGCCUGGCGUUACGGAUAUUGAUAUCCCCACGCCAGGGUCAGCAGAUCCGGUGACACCGAUGCGCAAUGCAACGGUUAUUCCGGAGCCGACGGUUAGAGUCCGGAUGAAAGAAGAUCAGU
rnacentral:ncRNA from 2 species